rnacentral:tRNA from 1 species
GCCCCUGUGGUGAAAUUGGUAGACGCGCCGGACUCAAAAUCCGGUUCCGCAAGGAGUGUCGGUUCGAGUCCGACCGGGGGCACCA